rnacentral:lncRNA from 1 species
UUAUUAAGAAGUUUUUAUUGGAAAUAAAUAUAGAAUAACUACUUUUUUGGUCAUUUUAAAUUUUAAUUAUUUUCCCAAUAAUUUUAUUAUGGAUUAAGUACUUAAUGUGCCAAAACUUAGCUUGUUUACAAUAAGUCAAAAUACCAUUUUACCAUACUUUAUACUAAGAUAUUAAGAAUUCAUUGUGCCAAACUCCCAUGUUUGUCUCUAAUAAAUCAAAAUUUCAAAAUAUAAAAUAUGGAUAAAAUUAAAUAGAAAAUAAUUGAAUUUAUAUAAUUAAAAAUAGAAUUUGAUUAAAUCAUAUUUUUCUACUAAGAGUUUCACCUCACCCUAACUAUUAGUAUUUAGUUAAAGACAUUAAAAAAAUGGUAUUUGAAAAUUGAAAUAAACCAAUUUUAUUUAUUGACACUUUUACCGUGGUAAAAACUUAUAAAUUCACAAUAAAAGUGGUGGAUCCUCCUCGACAAUGACCUAAUUUCUCGGACCUCCGGAAUUCAAAUUUGACAUCCGUACAUUUGGUUAGAGCAUCAAAUUACGUGAAAUUAUUAUUUUUACUUAAUAAACACACAAAAAUACACAAAAUUAAAUAUUUAGAAAAAGAAUUAGAAAUUCAUAAUAUGUUACAUUAUUACAAAUGUAAAUUAUAUUAUAAGCACAAAAUAACAUUUUUACUUCUUAAUAAAUAUAAAAAUUUUAACACUAAUCAAGGGGCUUUUUAGUAACACCAGGGUAAAAUUCAAAUAUCUCGUGUUCUUCCUAAGUUAUGUAAGAUAGGCGGCAUGCCCUCAUGUGAUUGUCCUUUUGGGUUAUCUAACAAGCGCACAAGGGUUUGUUGGGGAGGUCUCAUCUAUACAACCCUUUGCAGGUGGCUAUUUUUAGGGCUCUUUUAGUGAAGCAUGCCUAACCCAACCACGGAUCUUCUCAAGCUGAUGUGACUAAAUAUCUAUGGACACCUUUCGUCACUAUUCAAUAAACAAAUUUGCUUUAUCGUGCCAUUAGGGCUUGACAAAGUAAUUUUUAAGUUUUUUUAUUUUUUUUUUCGUCAUUGGAAAUCAAUCAAAUUUUGACAAAGUUGGGGAUUAAAAAAUUUACUUAAAUGAAAAAAGGGAAAAUUUCUUUUAUCCCAUUAACCGUUCAAGGUGAGGUAUAUGAUAAGGAAAAAGACAUUCUCACAAAGGAUUGCACAAAAGAUUGUACAAAACGGUGAGUUCUGAAAAAAAAUAUAAUUACAAAUUUUCAUAAAAUCUUGAAAAUUAAUCAUAUACAUCCUUAUUUGAAAUUAUUUGGAUUUUGGGUUGAUUUAUCUGCAAAAUUGGUAUCAAAGCCAAGUUUUUGGUUCAAAAUAUAAAAUGGAAGAAAUAGUUGUUUAUUUCAUUAAUAAUGGAGGAUAUAAUUUAAUGAUAAACAAUAAUACAAUAAAGGAUAACAUAACAAAACAUAGACAAUAUUAUUAUUCAGAAAUUAAUACAUUAGAUGAUAAACAAUUAGAACAAUUUUAUCUACACAGAGCUCAUGAAUUUAGGAUUGGAGGACUUAUUGUCAUAAAAACUAGAAAUUUAAACAUUGAUCCUAUUCUCUUAUUUAGAAUUAGAAGAGAAGUAUAUAGUAAUAAUUUUUCAUGGAAACAAUGGAAUAUUAAUUCUGUUGAAGAUUAUAUAGAUGAACUUAUAAUUGAUUAUAAUGGAUUUUUAAAUAUUAAACAAAGAGAUUAAUAUAAUUGGAAUAAUAAAAGGAUCCGUAGUAAAUAUUAUCCUUCUAGCAACAUGCUUAUAGGAUAUAAAGAUUUAAUUAUGUAUAAACUAUGCUAUAUACAUAAAUGUUUAGCGGAAAACAAUAUACCAAAGGAUAUAAGAGACAUUAUAUGUCAUAAAUACUUGUUAGAAUAUAAUGAAAUAUUAUGUAGAUGGUACUAUGAAUAAAUUACCAGAACCAUUGAUAAUUUCACAAAACAUAGAAAUAAAAAAAUUUCCACCUUCUAACUAUAGGCAUAGAGGAUUUACUUAUGUAAGAUUUCAACCAUUUGAUCGAGUAAAUGAUUCCGAUAUGUGGGGAAAUAAUUAGUUGAACUGGAUUUCCUUAUAUUUAUUAAAUAAAUUAGGCAACCCCAAUUUUUUACUAUAAAUGAUAUAGAAAGUAUAAAUGAAAUACUUGAGAUUAAAAGCUUCAAUGCUGAAAAUAUAAAACAAGUUAAAAUGAUAGGAGAAAAAAUGAGUGAAGAGUUUGAUUCAGUCAAACAAUUGAUAAAAGACUUCAAAAUUGAAGAUCAAGAUAGAUUGAAACAAGAAAUCAUUAAGGUUAUGAAAAAAAAUUCAAUUGAAAAAAAAAUUAAAUUAAAUAGAAAUUCAAUUACAUAAAAUUAAAAAAAUUGUGGAACAACUUGGUAAUAAAUUUGCAAUAAGUAUAAAUGGAAAACUUCAAAGGGAUUGAAAUACAAAAAAUUGAUAACAAUAUGGAGGAAUUACUCAUGGUAAUUCAAGAAUAAAAUAAAAUUUUGCAAGAUACCAUAAUUUACUACAAUGAAAAGAAAGAUAAAGAAAUGAUAACAAUAUCUAAACCAAUAUUUAACAAAACAAAGGAAGAUAAAAAGUUGAUAAGUCUAAGGAUGCUAAGUGAAAAUAUAGACAAUGGAUUAAAAGAAUUAUCUAAUCAAGAAAUAUCUGAUGAAGAAUCUGAAGAAGAAGAAGAAGAAGAUAUAUUCAUUAAUUUAAAAGAUAUUGAAAAUAAAAUAGAAUAUCUAAAAAUGAAUGAAUGAAAGCCAAGGGUUUUUGAAAGAGGAGAAACUAGUAAUAGAGCUUCUUAUACUAGGGAAGAAAUACCAACUCAUGAAAGACCUCAAGGUCAAAAUUUUAGGAUUAAUAAACCAAAAAAUGAAUAUAAAACUCCAGGAGAAUAUAGAGAAAGACCAAUCAAUCACGAUGGAGUAUGGUUAGAUUUAGACUGUGUCAAAGAUAAAGAUAAAACGAUUACCGCUUGGGUUAAAUCUAUGAAAAUGGCAUUAGCAUUUCACAAAAUAGAUAGAGAUAAUUGUAUAGAAUUCCUUAAAACUUCAUUUAUAGGAAUUGUGCCUCACUGGCUUAUGGGUCUAAAUGAUACCAAUAAAAAUAUAAUAUUAUAUGGAGAAAAUAAUGAUUGAAACGAAAACUUUGAUCAAAUUUAAAUAGAUUCGAAAAUGAAAUAAGAAAAGAAUUCUUAGGAGAAGAUUGGGAAACUAAUUUUCAACAAGAAAGAAAAAGAAAACAUAUGGAAAAUUUAAUGAAGCUGACAAGGCUUGAAACAUGUAAUAUAUGUUAUUUAGAAGAAUACACAUGUAACUUCGAAGAAUUAUAUUAUAAAUGUGAAUUUGAUAAGGAUAAAGAUAACAUAUACUAUUACAAUUAUCUAUAUUUUAUAAAGAUACCAGACCCAUGGGGUAAAAGGAUUAUGUUAGGAUAUAACAAAGAAUACGGAGAUACCACACAAACUAAUAAUCUAGGAAAUAUAAUUAGAUUUGCUCGAAAUAGAAUCAGCGAAUGGUGUGCUGAUAUAAGAGAUAAAAGACUUAUGAAAAAGCAAAUCGAGGAUUAUACUGUUUUAGGUUAGAAGAUCCACCAAGAUUUGGAUGCUAAAUCUAUAAACAUAAAAAGAUAUUCAAAAAGAAGAAAUUCUUUAAAGAAAACAAAAAAAUAUUACAAGAAAAAUAAAUAUAAGAAGAAAUUCUAUAAGAAACAUAAAUCUAAAAGAAAAUCUAAGGCCAAUACACCUAAAAAGUGCAAAUGUUGGUUAUGCAAUGAACAAGGACGUUAUGCAAAUGAAUGUCCUAAAAGGAAGAAAGCAAAUAUAAAAAUGUUUGAUGAUUUCAAUGAUUUAGAAUUAAUAACAGACAGUGAAGUGAAAAUGAUAGCAUAUAUUAUCUUCCUGAGGAAACUUUGAGUAACUCAUAUUCAUAAUCAUAUUUAGAAUGAGCAUAGAAUAAUUAGAUAAUAAAGAUUUAUAUCAAGAUGAAGAAUUAGAAAAACAAGGUUCUUUUAAUAAAGAAUUAAUCUUUGAUAAAAGACAAUAUCUCAAGAUUAAUAAAAAAGGAUUGGAAUCAUGUAUGACUUCAGUUAACAAGUUAGCACAAGGAAUUGCUAACAUGAUUAAAGGAAAAAAAUAUAAUGUAUUUCAGUGCUACUGUGCGAGAAGAACCUAUUGAUAUUAGAUAUGCUAGAGGAAAUACAAAUAUACCAUUAUUAUUAAAAUCUUAUAUAGAAGAUAAAAUCAACAAAAUAAAAUCCAGUGAUAGACCUAAAAUUGGAUACGUUCAUAUUGAAGGAAUCCAAAUAAUGAUAAAAGCUCAUUUUAGAGAAGAAAUAGAUAGUCCAAUGAAUUUGGUUGUACUAGAUAAUAGAAUUAAAGAUCGAAGACAUGCACUCCUUGGGAUAUUACAAGGAAAUCUAAGUUAUAAAAAAUUGAUAUUUAAAAUAUAUCCCAAAUAUUCUAUAAGUCUUAAAGACAUAAAUAUAAAUAAAAUAUUAACUUUAUGUCAUGAUUUCAAAUACUUUGAUAUAAUGCAUGAUUAAUCUUAUCCAUAUAGCAUGACAUAUGCAAUAGAAUAUGCAUUAACAAACUCAGCAAAUAGUGAAAUGUUUGCUGAUAAAGAUUUUAUCGAAAUUGAUAAAUUAUUUAAUAAAGUUGGAAAAAUACAAUCUCCUAAAAUUUUGAGGGAAUUAGAUUUACCAGAAGAAUGGGAAAUGGAUUAAAGUUGUCAACCUAUUCUCAUUAGAGGAAAUACUACUAAAUCUAUAGAAUAUACUCCAGAGAGGAGAAUCAUCAUAGGAAAUAAAAGAUCAUUCUCUAUACCUAGAAAAGAGUCAGGAUUAACUAGAACCCAAAGUUUUACUAGAUGUAGCUAUCUUGUGAUACCACCAUCACAUGAAAUAUUGGCCACGAUUAGAAAAAAAUAAUCAAAAUCUAAAAAUUAAGAUUGAAUAUAAUAAUGGAAAAUCAUGGCACGAGAUUUUUGCUAUCCUUGAUACAGGAGCUACAAAAUCUUAUGUAGAUACCAAAAUGAUUAAAUAUUUAGAAAGAAAAUUCUAAUAGAACCUCAUACCUAUGUAGGAUUUAAUGGAGAAAGAAAGACAUUAAGUCAAUAUUGUGAAAUACCAUUAAGAAUAAAAGGAAUCGAAUUCACGUUUCCUUUUUUUUUAUAGAACCAGAUUAUGAAACAGAAAUAAGUCCUUUAUUAUUAAGGAUGAACUUUCUUGAGAAUUUCUCUCCUUAUUCUAUAGGAGAUAGAGAAAUAAGCAUAACAAUUGAAGGAAUUAAGCAAACCAUAUCAAGAUAUGUCUAACCCUUUUAUUGUUUAUAUAAAAGUGAUUAUACCAUACUACAAGUAUAAGCCAGAAUGGUUUCAUACCUUAAUAGAUACUGGUUUAGGAGUUAGUUUAGCUAAUUCUAAGAUUUAUCCAAAAUCAUAUUGGAAGGAUUAUAAACCUCUAACAGGACAAGGAAUAAAUGGUGAACAGAUCACCUUAGGAAAAUGUAGGAUUAAGACUUUAAUCCAAAUCGAAGAUUACAUCCUAAGUAUCCCAAUAUUAUGGUCUUAUGAUCAUAUUGGAGCAUAUAUACUUUUAGGAGUUAAUUUCCUUCGUCAGUUCAUUUAUAUAAUGACUAAUGAAGCAAUUACUCUUAAAACACCAUGUAAUCAUUCCAUUACUACCCCACAGAUUUAUAACCCUAUUAGGUGAACAACUCGAAAAUUACAUUUUCGAAGCAGCCAGCGUGGUGAUUAUAAUUUAAAAAUUAUCAAAUCAUAUCAGAUUAUGAAAAAAAUUUAGAAAAACUUGAUAAAAAUUUUGGUGAAAUCCAAUUCAAUUAUGGGAAAUUGAUAAAACAUAUGCUAAGAUCGAAUUAAAAGAUCCAAAUGUUAUCAUAAGAGUCAAGCCUAUGAGGUAUGGACAAGAAGAUGGACAAGAAUUUGAUAAACAAAUUAAAGAGUUAUUAUAACUCAAGAUUAUUCGAGAAUCUAAAAGUGCUCAAAGUACUCCAGCUUUUAUGGUUAGAAAUCAUGCAGAGAUUAAACGAGGAAAAGCUCGUACGGUUAUUAACUACAAAGAAUUAAAUAAAUAUACUAAAUUUGAUGGAUAUUUUUUACCUCAUAAAGAUACACUAAUUACCUUUGUGAUCAAUAAAAAGAUAUUUAGCAAGUUUGAUUGCAAAUCUGGAUUUUGGCAAAUCAAACUUGAAGAAGAAAAUAUACUACUUACUGCUUUUAGUACACCUCAAGGACAGUAUGAAUGGAUUGUAAUAUCUUUUCGAUUAAAAAAUGCACCACAAAUAUUUCAAAAAAGGAUGGAUAAAAUUUUUAAGGAAUUUCAUGAAUUCUACAUUGUUUAUGUAGAUGACAUUUUAAUAUUCUCUGAUAAUAAGAUAGAUCAUAUUAAUCAUCUCAUUUUUGCAGAAAAAUGCAAAAAGCAUGGAAUAUUACUUUUUAAAAAGAAAGCUGAAAUAAUGAAACCCAGAAUAGAAUUUCUAGGAUUAAUAAUAGAUGAAACAGGAAUUGAGAUGCAACCUCAUAUUUCUGGAAAAAAAAAAUAUUUAUUCCCAGAUAAACUAGAAUUAAUGAACAAAUUCAAAAAUUUUUAGGAUGUCUUAACUAUGCUGAAGGAUUUAUAGAAAACUCAGCUAAAGAAAGACAACUUUUACAAAGAUUGUUAAAAAAGAAUAAUACAAAAUCAUGGGAAGAUCUCCAUACCAAAGUAUAAUUUAAAAAUUAUCAAAUCAUAUCAGAUUAUGAAAAAAAUUUAGAAAAACUUGAUAAAAAUUUUGGUGAAAUCCAAUUCAAUUAUGGGAAAUUGAUAAAACAUAUGCUAAGAUCGAAUUAAAAGAUCCAAAUGUUAUCAUAAGAGUCAAGCCUAUGAGGUAUGGACAAGAAGAUGGACAAGAAUUUGAUAAACAAAUUAAAGAGUUAUUAUAACUCAAGAUUAUUCGAGAAUCUAAAAGUGCUCAAAGUACUCCAGCUUUUAUGGUUAGAAAUCAUGCAGAGAUUAAACGAGGAAAAGCUCGUACGGUUAUUAACUACAAAGAAUUAAAUAAAUAUACUAAAUUUGAUGGAUAUUUUUUACCUCAUAAAGAUACACUAAUUACCUUUGUGAUCAAUAAAAAGAUAUUUAGCAAGUUUGAUUGCAAAUCUGGAUUUUGGCAAAUCAAACUUGAAGAAGAAAAUAUACUACUUACUGCUUUUAGUACACCUCAAGGACAGUAUGAAUGGAUUGUAAUAUCUUUUCGAUUAAAAAAUGCACCACAAAUAUUUCAAAAAAGGAUGGAUAAAAUUUUUAAGGAAUUUCAUGAAUUCUACAUUGUUUAUGUAGAUGACAUUUUAAUAUUCUCUGAUAAUAAGAUAGAUCAUAUUAAUCAUCUCAUUUUUGCAGAAAAAUGCAAAAAGCAUGGAAUAUUACUUUUUAAAAAGAAAGCUGAAAUAAUGAAACCCAGAAUAGAAUUUCUAGGAUUAAUAAUAGAUGAAACAGGAAUUGAGAUGCAACCUCAUAUUUCUGGAAAAAAAAAAUAUUUAUUCCCAGAUAAACUAGAAUUAAUGAACAAAUUCAAAAAUUUUUAGGAUGUCUUAACUAUGCUGAAGGAUUUAUAGAAAACUCAGCUAAAGAAAGACAACUUUUACAAAGAUUGUUAAAAAAGAAUAAUACAAAAUCAUGGGAAGAUCUCCAUACCAAAGUGGUAAAAGGAUUAAAAGAAAAAUAUAAAAAUCUACCCAGGCUAGGAUUCCCUACCUCUAGUGAUAAUUUAAUUCUUGAAACAGAUGCUUUAGAUAAUCAUUGAGGUGCAGUCUUAAAAACAUAUCAAGAAAAGAUUUGAAGAUAUGCCAGCGGAACAUUUAAGCCUGCAGAAAAGAAUUACAUAGUAAUGAAAAGGAAUUAUUAGCUAUUAAAACGGAAUAGCUAAAUUUACUUUCUUUUUGUUACCAAAGAAAUUCAAGGUAAGAUCCGAUAAUACUCAGGUAAAAGGAUUUAUAUUUAAUAAAUUACUUAAUCUUCCACAAUAUAAAAGAUUAAUUAGAUGGCAGCAGUUCUUUCCUGAAUAUGAUUUUGAAAUUGAAUAUAUUAAAGGAUCUAACAAUUGUAUUGUAGAUUUUCUUAGCCAAGUAUACAAUGGAGAGGAGCCUUUCCAAAAUAAUUAAGGGCAUAAUGAUGUUCUCUGAAGGUCAAGAAUUGCUUCUCAAAGGCAAUGGUAUGAUUUAUGAUGGGCUUGCUAUGAUAGAUGAUGCCCAUGAAGAAUUGAGCAAACUUUGCCUAGAUAAAAGUUUUCAAAAGCAUCCAAAAUUCCAAAUAUCAUAACAAUAUAUUAGCAAUAUGCUAAAAAAAUGUCCAUUUUAAGGAUCAACUUGAGGGACAGAUCGCCCAGAGUUCUUCACAGAACUCAAGGAUCACACAUCCAGAUAAAUUUCUCACAAUUAAUGAUCUUAAAGAACAAUAUAUGAGGAAAGAAGAAUCUCAAGGGUCUUCAGUAAGCUUAAGUCCUCAAUAUGAUAAAAGCGAACAAUCUGUUCCUAUGGUUAAAAUUCCAAUAGGAAGUGACUACGCCUAUGAUUAUAAAAGAAUCGAAAAAAUGGCCUAUGAGAUUCGCCCUAAUCAGGCUAUAAUACCAGAUCAUUUAGGGUUAUACCCAAGGAUAAAUUUUGUUCCAGGAGUUGAUCCAAAAUUGAUAAAAGAAAUGUUUGAAUAUGGUUUUCUUCACAUUGUUUAUGUUAGUGAUGAUUGCAGGGAAAUCAAAUAGCUCCCAGAAAAAAAUUGCAGAGGUUGUGAAUGGCCUCAAAAGAAUAUCUAAAAUAAAAGAAAUGAUUUUUGUCAAUAUCCUCACUGCUUGCCCUGAAUACUAUGAAAACAAGUGGUAUCCAGUGCAGCACAUGAUUCAAUUUGGAAUUACCAGCAAAAGAGUUAGUCCAACUAUUGAUUUAAAUCAAGUCGACAAUGAUUAUGAUCCUGAUUUUUUCGAGCCUAAAGCUCUCACCAGAAAAAGGGCUAUCGGAAUGAAAUUCCUCUCUGAAUCUCUUGAGAGGAUAAGCAAGGAGAAAAUAUGGCUCCACGAAGCCACAAAAGAGCAUAUAAUCCUUUCUAUGAGUAGAAAAGAAAGCAUUUUAGCUAGACAAGCAAUAUUAAAAAAGAAAAAGGCAAUAUAUGAGAAUCUCGUGGAAUCUAUCUUGUCAACACACCAUGAGGUAUGCAAGGUGCUCAAGUAUUAGUCAUCAUGUGGCUACUACUACGAAGGAUCAAAAGCGGAGUCUAGUGGAGAAGACAUGUCGCUAGAUGAAGAAUUGAUAAUUGACAUGUAACAUGAGCCAUUGGAAAAGAUAAAAGGUGCUAUUCAAAAAGUAUCAAUAAUUCAUAAAGAAAGAUUCCAAAAGAGAUAACGUCUACCACGACCUGAUAAAGGCUAUCUGCCACCAAGAAAAGAGGACACCCACUGUCUUCAAUAAUAGAAGGGAAAUGGGUCACCUUAUAAAGCAAAAAAUCUACAAUCCACGAUGAAUAUCAAACAUGUGUCAUGUAAAAGAGAUAACCUUAUCUCUUUAAGAUUAUAAAUAGAAGCAUGUAAGAAGGGAAAGACAUCACAUGUCUAACAUUCACCCUUAUCUGUAUUCUCUGUAAGCACCCUUUGUAAAUAAUUUUAGUUAUGAAAUAAAUAAAACUCUUUUGAGUGAAAUUAGCAACUUCUAGAUAUUUUAUAUAUUCUUAAGAAAUCAACCAAGAACCUUACAUGCCAAUACUUGUGCUAAACGAAGAAGAUUUUCUAUUACUAAUCACUCUCCUAGAGACAACUGUAAGGAAAUCACUUAGAAAUAUCCUAUUAGGCCAGUUUGUUGUGUGUUGCAUUGGUAAAUUUCACAAAAAUGGAAUUUUUAGAAAUAUUCACAAAAAUGGAAAGAUAUGUUAAUAAAUUUCUAGAUGCAAUUAAUCAUUUAGACUUUAGUCAAGAAUAUCAACUUGCUUAUAAAAACAAACAAGGCUUGUAUGAAGAAAUGAAAAAUGAUCCAAAAAUAUUUGAUUCAUUUGAAGAAGAAAACAGGAUACCAUUAAUAGAAUCAAUUCUAUCUAGCCUUGAAAUAAUUCAAGACAAGUGUAAGGCUAAUAAUAGAACUCAAAAUCGAGCAUAAAACAAAUGGAUAAUAAUAAUAAUAUAGAGAUGUUAAUUCAAGAUGCAGAUCCCAAAUUAUAAUUUAUAUGUGAAAGCUUUGAUAGAAUGUAUAUAAGCUAGGAAGAUAGCAUAGGAGUAUACAUAAAUAUGUUAAAAGAAAAGAUUUGGUCUAUGACUCAAAGAAGACAAAUGCUUAUAAAUUCAUGGAUUAAUUUAAAUAUAGAUUUUUAUGAAAAAGAUAAUCAUUUAGAACUUUACAAAUAUAUAGUCAAAACUUUGAAGAAUUAAGAAUAGAUGUAGAAGAGAUGGAAGGAGAAAUGCUCCCAUCAAUUAAAAUCAAUAAAAUUCAUAAAUUCCAAAAUAGCAUAAAACUUUGAAAUAAUUUUCAAAAAGGUCCUUGUUGUACUAAGGUUUGUACCCACUUUUGUGAGAAUAUCAUUGUUGAUAUAAUAAGCAUAGCGAUCGAUUUGUACACGUGGUGCUUAUUUUAGAUGCUUGCGUAUCAUUUGAGUCUUUAGCUAUGACUUCACAGAGAAAAAAAAAAUCAAAUCUUGAGUGUCCAUAUCCGUUUUGAACAAGGACUUAUGUUAAAUAUCUUAAAACUGACCUAUGGGUGGUAUCCACAUUCAAAUGUUGACAUGAACUUUACAGUUUAGAGACAUGUUAGAAUAUAUAAUAUGAUUGAAAGGGAGGCAUGAAUUUACCAAGUUUAGAUGAUAUCCAUGUUCCAAUAUCUUAUGCAUGGGUUUAGACUCGCCUCUCCUUCCAAUUAAAUUAGGUAAGAAUAGAUUUUUUGUGGUUAAUACAAAUAGAAUAACUAUUAUAAGGGUAGAAAUUUAGACUGUAUCAUAGGGGUGGGUAAAAUCGGGUUCGGAUCGGAUUCGGAUCAAUCCAAUUGGGUUUCGGGUUGGUCGGAUUGAGAAAAAAGCCAUCCGAACUCAACCCGAACCUAUGAUCCGAUCUGAUCCGAACCUAUGAUCCAAUCUAAUCCGAACCACACAUAUUUGGAUCAGAUCGGAUCGGAUGAAAAAAUCGAGUUGAGAACGGAUCGGACCAUAUUCAGGCGGUAUUGCUUAGGCUGUGUAGAGAGAAUUGUUUUUUUUUUUUAAUCACAACCUGGAUUUCUGGAUUUGAUAACUGAAGUUAGAAUCAACCAGAACAUAGGCUACAAAUUUGAUUACCAUCAAGGGAAUUUUAUAUCUCCAAUUUGAACACAUGAAAUUGAACAAUCAUUUCAACAAAUUAAGAGAACAAUAAAAAAUCACAAUUCUUCAACUUCCCAUCCCUUUCACCAAUUCAAACAACUUCACAAUAUUCCUCAUGUCAAUAAACCAAUCCCAAGCUUAAAAAAAAAUUGACUAACUUUCACAACUCAAUAUUAUUAACAUCACUUGUGAAUGGUUUCACCGGAAAAUUCCAUUUCGGCAGUAGAGAGAGGCUACGGACAUGGCUGCUUGGCGCGACCACGGAUUGCGUGGUUGGUGGUGGUUGGCGCGACCAUGGAUCUAUUGUUGGUGGCGGUUGGCGUAAUCAAAACGAAGGCUCACAGCUUGGUACGGUGGACAGUGGCAGUGCGAUUUGCUAGUGCAAUCAAAGAAGCGAAGACUCACGGCUUAAAACGAAGGCUGAAGGCUCACAGCUUGGUGCGAUUUGCUGGUUUAAUUUUGCGGCGGACAGUAGAUGUUUAGUGGUGGUGACUGGUGCCGGUGGGAUUGGUAGUUUGGAUUUGGAGUUUUGGACAAUGUUGGUUGGUGGCGGCUUGUGCUUGUGUCUGCGUGUUGAGAAAUCAUAAAUUAGGGUUUUGUGUUUCUUUAGAUUUUUUUUUUGGCAAUCCGAUCGGAUUUUCGGAUCAGAUCGGGUUUGAUCCGAUCCGAAUACAAUCUGAUCGGGUUUAGAAAAAUCAAUCCGAUUAGGUCUUAUUCUUAAUCUGCAUCCGAUCUGAAUCCGAAAUAUUCGGAUCGGGUCGGUUUACUUGCCCACCCCUAUUGUAUCAUAUUAAUUUUUUAUCAAGAGUAAUUCUAAUGAAUUUUUUAUUAUAAAUAUCAACAGGAUUUUAAUUGUAAUAUAACAGUGCAUAAAAAAAAUCAUAAUAAACUCAUCAAAAUUAUUUUACCAUUUCAGGAAUGCACUCAGAACUCGAAGUGUCAUUUGUAGUCCAUAAUUUAAGCUUGUUCUAAUCAACAGAAAUUUACGUGUGUAGUGAAGAGUAUAUAUUUUAUGGGAAAUUAAUGAGCUUUCAGCAUCCGGUGAUGUAUUUAGUUUCAGCAUCUAAUUUCUUCGAAGCACUUCAACAGCUCGCCAGCACAAAUUUGAAGAUUUUUUCGGUAAAUUAAACUGUAUGAAGAACAAGCAAGUGGAAGAAAAAUAUUUUUCCCUUACAAUCACCAAACCUGAUAAGAUAUAUAGUCCAGCCUUUGCUCAAGUCAAGGAGGCUUCUGUGGAAUAUAAUAGACUCGCCUGUUGUCUAUAUAGAAGAUGAAGAAACCCGCAUACCAACAUCAUAAACAUCCAAUUUUGAAUAAAAUCACUUUUUUCCCCCUCAUGUAUUUGCCAUCCCACAUGGGCAUAACAAUAGUAAUAUUAAUUUUGUAUGGAAUAAGUUAUAAUUCAAACAAAUAUGAUGACAUGUAACAGGUAGAAAAUAUAUGAUUAUCAAGUAGUUUUUAACGGAAAUAAAAAUAUAACAAGGACCUUUCGGAUCAUUUUAAAAAAUAUAAGAACUAACUGGAUAAUUGACUCAAAUUUAUAGGGGUUAAAUAAGUAUUUACUCUUAUUUUCUAUGUACUUUUAUCUCAAUGUCAGUUAUGUUUGAAUUUUAAAGUAUAUCAAAUAAAAGUAUUAUUUUACUCUAGAAAAAUAAAAUCCAAUAACUAUAGAAGUAAAACUACACGUAAGGGGAUUUUAAUCAUAUGUACUUGUUGUUGGUUUAGGGCCAUCUCAAUGAAGAUUUCUCCGGUCGAUCUCGAAGACGACUCUAGAUAGGGAUGCACUUGUGCAAGGCCUGAAAAAGAGGAAAAUUGCCAUUAGAUGUGUCAUCUGCAAUGGAUAGCCCAGCGACGAUACUUUGACAAUCAACUCAAUAAAUGGUGGAGGGAAGGCUGAGGUUCUUUGAAACUUCAAAAUAUGCAUGAAGAAGAGUUGAAAGAGUGAAGAAUGAUCCUUCCAUAAUGAGUUGGACUUAACCUUUAUAGUGGAGUGCCUCCUGAGGGAAUCUUUGAACAUUUUCGACAUAUAGCAGAACAUGAUUGGUCAUUUCAUUCCUCAAGUAGAGGCUUUUAAAUAACAUUGGGGUAAAACUUUUUAAUAUCUCGGGUUCUUCCUAGGUCAUGUUUGACAGAUGGCAUGCCCUCAUGUAAUAAUCCUUUUGGGCUGUCUGACAAGCGCACAAGGACUUAUUAGGGUGGGUCUCAUCCGUACAACUCCUUGCAAAUGGCUAUUUUCAGGGCUCUUCUAGUGGAGCUUAAGUGGAGACCCUUUGUCACGCCCCAAAUGUGACAAGGAUCAAGGGGUGAUCUUUCUAUCACUCAAUAUCUCAAAAGUGUGGAAGACAAUCAAGACAUAUUAACAAUGAGACAACUUAAACGAUUAUAAAGUUGUUAAACUUAGAGUUCACUAAAAUUACUCCCAAAAACAAUAAUAAUAAUAAUAGUAGUAGUAGUAGUAGUAUUGCACUUAGUAAGUCAAAAGAUCUUAUAUCCUAACUACACAUGUCAAAAAUCCUUUAAAGACUAACGAAACCAAGGAACAGAAAUAGCUUUACCAAAUUCAUUACGCACUAGAUCCGUUAAUCAAUACAAACUAUAGUGAGUAUAAAACUCAGUAAGCAAAUUAGUUUUUCAUAUAGCAAAAUAAAUACAUAAUAUACAUAAUACAUGCGCUUGUAAUGGCAUAACUACAAACUUAUAUUCAAAGGCUUCACAAAUUGCUUACAAAUUAAGAUAUUGAAAAAUAAGGAUUGAUCCAUGCCCUUGUUAAAAGCCCAACACCACUUUGAUGGCCCAACUGUAAUACAUUUGUUAAGCCCAAGCCUAACUCAUAGAAAGUUGCAUGACUAUUUUUUUUGUUUUAAAGGUAAGGCAUGGUGUGCAAGUCCAAAUACAAUUUGUAUCCCUCUUACUACUCUCAAGAAUCGAAACUAAGUUUUAGUAGAGUUUACAUCUGCACUGCAACCAACCCGACCACGCCCUUGGGGGCAAAGUUUCAUGACUAGUUAAUAUUUUCGUAAGAAGUAAAACUGUCAUGAAUAAUAGGUGGUAUGGUAGUUGUAAAAUAUUGUUAAUUUUUAAGAGAUAGGUGGUAGGUCCAAGACUAAUAUUUGAACUCUGUUACACUAAAGCCUAAAAGCUAGAGAGAAUUUGCUUGAGAAGGAAGAGUAGAAGAUCACUUAAUUUUUUGGUGUAUUUUGCAAAUGAAAUUGGAUACCAAUUUAUAGAAUUCAUGGAGGGCAAUUUGGUUCAUGAAAAAUGCGCUAACUUUUGAAUUUAAAAAUUCUAAUAUAAUUUUUGAAAUUGAAAUCUAUAACAGUUGCGAUUAAUUAUCGAUUAAUUAUUUGCAAGCUUUAAUUGGUUGAAAUAGCUAUUUAAGCUGUUUUUCCCCUUGAAAAUCAGUCAUUUUCAUCCUGAAUAGUAGCCUUUUAAUUCUUGUUGUUAUGCAUCAUAAAUUUCUAUAAAUGCAGCUAAUAUAUCAUCAAAUUGAUUUCGUUGUUACACUCUUAGAUUUAAUUUCAUUACUAUAAAUUAAAUUCCAGUGCAUUAUAAAAAGAAUAUGGGAAACGUAAACUAAGACUAGUUUGCUCAAAUUUGGAUGGCAUUCAUGUAUGCGGGACGCGAGAGCACAACGAGUCAAGCCAAGCUGAUUCAUAAUUUACACCCCUGCGUAGACAUGCCUAGGGAGAUCCUAAUCCUUACAAUACUUACCAUCUAUUACAUGUCACUUUUACAAUGAGGGAUUUGUCACUUUUUGCUUCAUUUUUUCAGUCUAAUGGGUGUAAUUUGAGAUCUAAUUGUUGGGGAAAAAUUAGGUUUUUAAAUUUUUAUAAAACCUUUUAAGGACCGCUCUCAUAUAAUAUAUAGGAAUACGUAAUCCAGAAAUCGUACCUUGAAAAUCCGAGUUGGCUUUUUCCGCUGAAGUGAUUUAGGCUCCUAGAUCACGAUCCGCCACCACCACUCCUGUUAGAUCACGAUCCGUCACCACCACGCUUGUUAGAUCACGAACUGUCACCAAUGAUCUUCCAGGUUAUGACUCAGGUUCGAUCUGCACUUGACGUGUGGGCGCCNNNNNNNNNNNNNNNNNNNNNNNNNNNNNNNNNNNNNNNNNNNNNNNNNNNNNNNNNNNNNNNNNNNNNNNNNNNNNNNNNNNNNNNNNNNNNNNNNNNNNNNNNNNNNNNNNNNNNNNNNNNNNNNNNNNNNNNNNNNNNNNNNNNNNNNNNNNNNNNNNNNNNNNNNNNNNNNNNNNNNNNNNNNNNNNNNNNNNNNNNNNNNNNNNNNNNNNNNNNNNNNNNNNNNNNNNNNNNNNNNNNNNNNNNNNNNNNNNNNNNNNNNNNNNNNNNNNNNNNNNNNNNNNNNNNNNNNNNNNNNNNNNNNNNNNNNNNNNNNNNNNNNNNNNNNNNNNNNNNNNNNNNNNNNNNNNNNNNNNNNNNNNNNNNNNNNNNNNNNUAAAUUUAAAACUUAUAAAAUUACUAAAAAAUAAAAAAUAUAUACACAUAAAAUAUUAAAAAAUAUAAAAUUCAGGUACCCAGAUUAAAAUCUGGCCCAGACCCAGACCCGGCCCGGAGUUUUGCCAUCUCUACACACGGCCCCAUUUAGAUGUGCUUCACGUGGCCUUUGCAUGCAAGUUUCGACAUACAGAUUUCAUUUACAUGCGCCAACCAAUAUACAUGCAUACUAAUAAAUACAAAUUGAAUAUGAAUUAUUCAAACACCCGAGGGCUCUGAUACCAAUUGUUGGGGAAAAAUUAGGUUUUUUAAUUUUUAUUAAACCUUUUGAAGAUCGCUCUCAUAUAAUAUAUAAGAAUUUGUAUUCUAGAAAUCGUACCUUGAAAAUCCGAGUUGGCUUUUUCCGCUGAAGUGAUUUAGGCUCCUAGAUCACGAUCCACCACCACCACUCCUGUUAGAUCACGAUCCGUCACCACCACGCUUGUUAGAUCACGAACUGUCACCAAUGAUCUUCCAGGUUAUGACUCAGGUUCGAUCUGCACUUGACGUGUGGGCGCCGUUCUCACUACCAAAGCAACUAGCACGAGAAAAUUUUUCUCUCAACAAUAGAGAGAAAAAUCUUUUUCUCUGAUCUGUAUAAAGUGGCUUCUACUUAUUUUCUUUAGGGAAAAAUAAGCCUUUUAUAUCAUCCUUUAGUGAAAACCCUAGGCUCCAAAUAAUGCCCUAAAUAAAACUCACGUUAUUUUCUUUUUCAAUAGGGGAUACCCUCCCACUACGACAAGGUUCUAAAAGUGAUGGUUGUUCAAGGAUAAUCCUGUGCUGAUCAGCUGGUUGUUGCUGUUCUUCCUGUUCUAUAACAGGUGUUGAAAGCUGAGCAUCAACCUGAUCUCUUUUACUGCUGUACCGUACAUCCGCCUUGGCCGUACAGCAGGGGGAUCAUUUGGGAACAUACAAUAGUGGCUACAAUAAUUAGGCCUGUAAUUAAACUAGCCCCAUUAUUUAAUUCCAAAUCUACUCCACUAAAAGAUUGGAACUGACUUCCAUAAUUGUAUGCUCGAAUAAUAAUUCGUCCCAAGCCACAUUGAUUUCUUUACUGCACAAUCAUUUGUACCACAUCAUUAAUUAAAUCGAUAUCUCAACUGUCCAAUCAAUUUAAUUAUAUCUUGUUCCUUGAUACUUAUUGGUUUUCUCUAAUGAUCAUUUUCAACAUACUAAAUAUGUUGACACACUCUGGCCAGAGAAUUCUAUGAUCAAGUACCGAAAACCUAUCAAGAGAUGUGUUGUACAAAUUCUUUAUUGUUAAUCCAUAACUCCAAUACUCAUAAUUGCUUCCACCAAGAUACCGGGUAAUCUUGACCACAAAGAUGUGUCGUGCCCAUUGGUAGCUCAAAUGGAAUAACAAUUACAAUCAUGAAAUCAUAAUUAACUCAAGAUUAAGAUUACAGUAAAAUCAACGCCUAUGAGAUUUAAUAAGUCUGACAGUUAUUACAAAGUUAAUUAAAUCUCAUAUGUGAUCCUGUUCAAUGUAGUCGUACUACAUCAAUAAAUUCAUACAUGAUUAAGACAAAUCAUUCAAUGAAUUUAUUACAGUCUAUACCUAAAUAAAGUGCCCAACUUUAUUUAUCAACUGCGAACUUAAUUUAUUUAAUUAUAAGAUAACUUGUAUUUAUGUCUUCUGUAAAUCUACAUAGUGAUCACAUAAAUACAUAUAAUAUGAUUAAAUGGACUUUAAUACAAAUAUUAAUGCAAUCAAGAUAUUUGAAUAAAAUACCUCAUUUAUUUUAUUGAUCAGAAAAAUAGUUUAUUACAAUCAAAUAAACACAUAUGCUUUUAAAGAGCAUAUUUUCCCAACACUAAUUUCUCAUUUAUUCAAGUAUCAAUUUGAGUGUUUUAUAAUUCAUUGUGAAGAGCUCUUCCGAAUUAUCUAUAUAAAUAUACUUUUUCAAUAUUCAUCUUGCUCAAAACCUAUCUUAAAAUGACCAUUUAUGCUAUUUUUUUUUCUAACGCCUCUUAUCUUAGAAAAAGGCUUGAUUUCAGGAGAGUGCAUGAGUAGGGAUGGCAAUUGUACCCGCAAACCCGCCCGUUGCGGGUAAUUUUACCCGUUGCGGGUGGGUUUAAUAUUAUAAAUUAAAACCCACACAUGGAUGCGGGUGGGUUUGGUAUUGACCUUAAAUCCGAUGGAUACCCGCAUGGAUAUCCGUCAAACCCGUAAUAUUUUUUUUAAAAUAUUUUUAAUUUAGUGUUGUACAAAUUCUAUAUUGUUAAUCCUGCACAAUCCUUUGUACCACAUCGUUAAUUAAAUUGAUAUCUCAACUGUUCAAUCAAUUUAAUAACAUCUUAUUCCUUGAUCCUUACUGGUUUUCUCUAAUGAUCAUUUUCAACAUACUAAAUAUGUUGACACACUCUGGCCAGAGAAUUUUAUGAUCAAGUACCGAAAACCUAUCAAGAGAUGUGUUGUACAAAUUCUUUAUUGUUAAUCCAUAACUCCAAUACUCAUAAUUGCUUCCACCAAGAUACCGGGUAAUCUUGACCACAAGGCUGUGUCGUGCCCAUUGGUAACUCAAAUGGAAUAACAAUUAUAAUCAUGAAAUCAUAAUUAACUCAAGAUUAAGAUUACAGUAAAAUCAAUGCCUAUGAGAUUUAAUAAGUCUGACAGUUAUUACAAAGUUAAUUAAAUCUCAUAUGUGAUCCUGUUCAAUGUAGUCGUACUACAUCAAUAAAUUCAUACAUGAUUAAGACAAAUCAUUCAAUGAAUUUAUUACAGUUUAUACCUAAAUAAAGUGCCCAACUUUAUUUAUCAACUGCGAACUAAAUUUAUUUAAUCAUAAGCUAACUUGUAUUUAUGUCUUCUGUGAAUCCACAUGGUGAUCACAUAAAUACAUAUAAUAUGAUUAAAUGGACUUUAAUACAAAUAUUAAUGCAAUCAAGAUAUUUGAAUAAAAUACCUCAUUUAUUUUAUUGAUCAGAAAAAUAGUUUAUUACAAUCAAAUAAACACAUAUGCUUUUAAAGAGCAUAUUUUCCCAACACUAAUUUCUCAUUUAUUCAAGUAUCAAUUUGAGUGUUUUAUAAUUCAUUGUGAAGAGCUCUUCCGAAUUAUCUAUAUAAAUAUACUUUUUCAAUAUUCAUCUUGCUCAAAACCUAUCUUAAAAUGACCAUUUAUGCUAUUUUUUUUUCUAACGCCUCUUAUCUUAGAAAAAGGCUUGAUUUCAGGAGAGUGCAUGAGUAGGGAUGGCAAUUGUACCCGCAAACCCGCCCGUUGCGGGUAAUUUUACCCGUUGCGGGUGGGUUUAAUAUUAUAAAUUAAAACCCACACAUGGAUGCGGGUGGGUUUGGUAUUGACCUUAAAUCCGAUGGAUACCCGCAUGGAUAUCCGUCAAACCCGUAAUAUUUUUUUUAAAAUAUUUUUAAUUUAAUUUUAAUUAAAAAAUUUUAAUUUAAAACAUGUAUAAAGAAAAUUAUACAAUUAUUCAAAAUGUAUAAAGGAAAUUGGUCAAAGGCCCAAAAGCCGAAGCCAAAAUUUUGUGUGUGUGCAGUGUGUGUGGCCCAUCCGCCCAUCUCCCGUUCAGCCAUUCUAAAGUGAUAAACUGAAAACCUAAAGCAAAUAAAGGCAUUUUCCCUUUCGAGUCUUUGACUUAGCCGCAAAUGAGCUGACCAUCUUCGUCAUCUCUAUCUUCAAUUCUUCAUUCAACAUUCUUUUCUUCUUCAACCCGAUCGUGUGAGUUGUGACAGUGAGCUAGCCCCUUGCCGCCAGCUCUCUUCACUGCCAACAAAGACGUGUCGUGCUGUUGCAGCCAAUUUUGCAGUCGUGAAAGGUACGAAUUUAGAUUGGUUUUUUUGUGGGAUAAAGCCAAGAAUUAUUAAGGGAAAGUCCUGGAAAGUACACGCAAUAGCCAAUGGAUUCUAAAACAGGGGGCUUUCAUCAAGUUGUGACUGAGGGCCUCGGGAAUUUAAUUUCAAUUAUUUUUCUAUCUUGACUAGUAAUAGUGCCAAGUGCCAGUUUUUGAUCCCGUGAUUGCUGAUGUCGUGUGGUUUAAGCAACAAAAUUUUGAGUAUUUAUCUAUAGUGCGAACGUAGAUUAUUUUAGAACAAUAAUUUUUUAAUUUUAAUUUUCGUCUCUUUGUAAAUUUUAAUUUUAAUUUUCAUCUCUUUGUAACUUUUAAUUUUAAGUAGAUAUUCAGACUUAAAAACGUUUAUUGAAUUAAAUGAGAUGAUGCAUGAUGUAGUAUUUUAUUUAACUCCAUCAAUUUAGUUAAAAAAAUUGAAACUCAGAACGUCAACAAUCUAUUAAUUUUGUUGCUUUUGAGUUGAUAAUGUAAAUAGUCAGGCUAGUGUAAAUUGUUGAAUUCGCUUGCUAAUUUUUCAUCUUAUCUUUGCUGAAUUCGCUUGCUAAUUCUUGUAUAUUGAUUUAAACUUUGUUGAAAUUUUU